rnacentral:rRNA from 1 species
UACGUAGGGUGCGAGCGUUGUCCGGAUUUAUUGGGCGUAAAGAGCUUGUAGGCGGCUCGUCACGUCGGGUGUGAAAACUCGCGGCUCAACCGCGAGCCUGCACCCGAUACGGGCGGGCUAGAGUUCGGCAGGGGAGACUGGAAUUCCUGGUGUAGCGGUGGAAUGCGCAGAUAUCAGGAGGAACACCGGUGGCGAAGGCGGGUCUCUGGGCCGAUAUUGACGCUGAGGAGCGAAAGCGUGGGGAGCGAACAGG